rnacentral:ncRNA from 1 species
AAAAUGUUUUAUUUUAGCAUAAAAAUUUAUUUAUAAUUUGUUUUACAUGUAAAUUUUUGUAUGAAUAUAUAUUUAUUAUCUAAAAGAUAAUUAAUAAUUUUAUUAAUCUCAGUAAUUAAUUUUAAUAAUUAAAGAAAUUUAUAAUUAGAAAUAUUAUUUAGUAUUAGCUAAAUUUGUGCCAGCAGCUGCGGUUAUACAGAAGAUGCAAAUAAAUUUUAUUAGUUUUUAGUAAAAUUGUGUUAUAUAUAUAUAUAUAUAUAUAUUAUAUUAAUUAUAAAUUUAUUAAGUGAAAUUUUAAAUUUAUUUUUUGGUAUAAGAUUAAUUAAUUGAAACUAUGAAAUUUUAUAAAUAAACUAGGAUUAGAUACCCUAUUAUUUAAAAUGUAAAAUUAAAAAACUAGAAUAGUAUUAGUUAUGUUCUUGAAACUUAAAAAAUUUGGCGGUAUUUUAGUCUAUUCAGAGGAACCUGUUAUGUAAUUGAUAAUCCACGUUGAACCUAACUUAAUUUAAUUUAAUUUGUAUAUCGCCGUCAUCAGAAUGUCUUAAAAAAGAAAAAAUUUUCUAAAAUUUUAAAUAAAAAUUAUGUCAGGUCAAGAUGCAGUUUAUAAUUAAGUAUAAAUGGGUUACAAUAAAUAUAUUUAUGGAUAUUAAAAUGAAAUAUUUAAUUGAAAUUGGAUUUGAAAGUAAAAUAAUAAAGAUAAAUUAUUUGAUUAUAGCUCUAAAAUAUGCACAUAUCGCCCGUCGCUCUCAUUAUUAAAAUUAGAUAAGUCGUAACAUAGUAGGCGUACCGGAAGGUGUGCCUAGAAUAAU